rnacentral:lncRNA from 1 species
AAACAGCUUCUCAGUGAAAAUUGUCAUGACAACCUGGAGAGAGGAAACGUUCUACUGCAAGCCGAGCGUGGGGACCGAGGGUCGGCGUCACAGUGAGAGAGCCAUGAUGGAGGACGGGGUCACCCUGCUUGCCCAACGCGGGGAGCUCCGUCAUACAGAAUCCCAGCAAGCUUGCGUGACUAACGGAGGAGCGUCUCCCCUUAGAUUCUUCCCGCCCGGAGCCGGGGACAGCAGAAGAGCCACGAUCCCAGGAAGCCGGCUUGUGCAGAGGAAAGAACCGCACCUCGUUGUCAGAACAACCCCAGCUCUGCCACCUACACCUUGUGUGACCUUGGGCAAGUCAGAGAAACUUCUCAGGUGCACAAUCUCCUCACGCUCCUAG